UACAGAGGUCCCAAGCGUUGUUCGGAUUUACUGGGCGUAAAGGGUGCGUAGGUGGCGAGGUAAGUUCGAUGUGAAAUCUCCGAGCUCAACUCGGAAAUGGCAUUGAAUACUAUCCCGCUUGAGGGUCGGAGGGGAGACUGGAAUUCUCGGUGUAGCAGUGAAAUGCGCAGAUAUCAGGAGGAACACCGGUGGCGAAGGCGGGUCUCUGGGCCGAUACUGACGCUGAGGAGCGAAAGCGUGGGGAGCGAACAGG
rnacentral:rRNA from 1 species